UACGUAGGGUGCGAGCGUUAAUCGGAAUUACUGGGCGUAAAGCGUGCGCAGGCGGUUUUGCAAGCCGGAUGUGAAAUCCCCGGGCUCAACCUGGGAAUGGCAUUUGGGACUGCAAGGCUCGAGUGCGGCAGAGGAGACUGGAAUUCCUGGUGUAGCAGUGAAAUGCGUAGAUAUCAGGAGGAAUACCGAUGGCGAAGGCAGGUGUCUGGGCUGACACUGACGCUCAUGCACGAAAGCGUGGGGAGCAAACAGG
rnacentral:rRNA from 1 species